rnacentral:rRNA from 1 species
AGUGAACGUUGGCGGCGUGGAUUAGGCAUGCAAGUCGUGCGGUAAGGCCCCGCAAGGGGCACACGAGCGGCGAAAGGGAGAGUAACGCGUGGAUUAUCUACCCCCGGGAUCGGGACAGCCGCGGGAAACUGCGGUUAAUACCGAAUAACGUCUCCGGACCAAAGGUGUGAUUCCGCCUGGGGAUGAGUCCGCGUCCUAUUAGCUUGUUGGUGAGGUAACGGCUCACCAAGGCCACGAUGGGUACGAGGUGUGAGAGCAUGACCUCGCUCACUGGGACUGAGACACUGCCCAGACACCUACGGGUGGCUGCAGUCGAGAAUCUUCGGCAAUGGGCGCAAGCCUGACCGAGCGACGCCGCGUGCGGGAUGAAGGCCUUCGGGUUGUAAACCGCUGUCGGAGGGGAGGAAAUGCGCGGUGGUUCUCCCUCGCGUUUGACCUAGCCUCAGAGGAAGGACGGGCUAAGUUCGUGCCAGCCGCCGCGGUAAAAC